rnacentral:rRNA from 1 species
UUCCAGACUCCUACGGGAGGCAGCAGUGGGGAAUAUUGCACAAUGGGGGGAACCCUGAUGCAGCGACGCCGCGUGAGUGAAGAAGUAUUUCGGUAUGUAAAGCUCUGUCAGCAGGGAAGAAGAAAGACGGUACCUGACCAAGAAGCCCCGGCUAACUACGUGCCAGCAGCCGCGGUAAUACGUAGGGGGCAAGCGUUAUCCGGAUUUACUGGGUGUAAAGGGAGCGUAGACGGCAGUGCAAGUCUGGAGUGAAAGGCGGGGGCUCAACCCCCGGACUGCUCUGGAAACUGUACGGCUGGAGUGCAGGAGAGGUAAGUGGAAUUCCUAGUGUAGCGGUGAAAUGCGUAGAUAUUAGGAGGAACACCAGUGGCGAAGGCGGCCUGCUGGACGAUGGCUGACGUUGAGGCUCGAAAGCGUGGGGAGCAAACAGGAUUAGAUACCCCUGUA